rnacentral:rRNA from 1 species
UUGAAAGGGAAACGAUUGAAGUCAGUCGUGCUGGCGCGAAAUCAACCUUCUCGUCUUGAGAUCACGUGGCGUGGCGAGCCUCAAAACCGUCACGAAGCGUGAACUCUUGGUGAAAUGGAGCACUUUCGUGUCCGCUGGUUAACAUCAAUUUCGAACGUCAUAAAAAGGCUGGAGGGAUGUGGCUCCUUCGGGAGUGUUAUAACCUUUAGCGGAAUGUGGUGUUCGGGAUUGAGGAUUGCAACGAAUACCUUUAGGGCUGUUCCACCUGGCUUCUCUUUGGUAUCCUGGUGACGACAGCUUGCUGACGUCGUUAGGAUUCGCCUUUGAACAGGCUAGAGUGUGAGCAAAUUCGUUAAGGAUGUUGACGUA